CCUACGGGAGGCAGCAGUGGGGAAUAUUGCACAAUGGGCGAAAGCCUGAUGCAGCGACGCCGCGUGAGGGAUGACGGCCUUCGGGUUGUAAACCUCUUUCAGCAGGGAGGAAGCGAGAGUGACGGUACCUGCAGAAGAAGCGCCGGCUAACUACGUGCCAGCAGCCGCGGUAAUACGUAGGGCGCAAGCGUUGUCCGGAAUUAUUGGGCGUAAAGAGCUCGUAGGCGGCUUGUUGCGUCGGUUGUGAAAGCCCGGGGCUUAACCCCGGGUCUGCAGUCGAUACGGGCAGGCUAGAGUGUGGUAGGGGAGAUCGGAAUUCCUGGUGUAGCGGUGAAAUGCGCAGAUAUCAGGAGGAACACCGGUGGCGAAGGCGGAUCUCUGGGCCAUUACUGACGCUGAGGAGCGAAAGCGUGGGGAGCGAACAGGAUUAGAUACCCUAGUAGUCCACGCCGUAAACGUUGGGAACUAGGUGUUGGCGACAUUCCACGUCGUCGGUGCCGCAGCUAACGCAUUAAGUUCCCCGCCUGGGGAUACGGCCGCAAGGCUAAAACUUAAAUGAAUUGACGGCUGAGAGNGCGAGACGACGACGAGGAGAG
rnacentral:rRNA from 1 species